rnacentral:rRNA from 1 species
AACGCGAAGAACCUUACCAGCCCUUGACAUCCCGGUACGCGGUUUCCAGAGAUGGAUACCUUCAGUUCGGCUGGACCGGUGACAGGUGCUGCAUGGCUGUCGUCAGCUCGUGUCGUGAGAUGUUGGGUUAAGUCCCGCAACGAGCGCAACCCUCGCCCUUAGUUGCCAGCAUUAAGUUGGGCACUCUAAGGGGACUGCCGGUGAUAAGCCGAGAGGAAGGUGGGGAUGACGUCAACUCCUCAUGGCCCUUACGGGCUGGGCUACACACGUGCUACAAUGGUGGUGACAGUGGGCAGCGAGACCGCGAGGUCUAUCUAAUCUCCAAAAGCCAUCUCAGUACGGAUUGCACUCUGCAACUCGAGUGCAUGAAGU